UGUUAACCCUGGGGCCGCAGCCGGGGGAAUAUAGGGACGGCAAGUGUUGUUCGGAUUUAGUGGGCGUAAAGGUGGCGCGGGCGGGGUGUUAAGUCCGGGGUGAAAUCUCACAGCCUAACUGUGAGUGGUCAUUGGAAACUGGCAUGCUUGAGGACUGGAGAGGAGACUGGAAUAGUCGGUGUAGCGGUGAAAUGCGUAGAGAUCGACUAGAACACCGGUGGCGAAGGCGGGUCUCUGGACAGUUCCUGACGCUCAGGCACGAAAGCCAGGGGAGCAAACGGGAUUAGAUACCCGUGUAGUC
rnacentral:rRNA from 1 species